rnacentral:rRNA from 1 species
UACGUAGGGGGCGAGCGAUGUCCGGAGUUACUGGGCGUAAAGCGCACGCAGGCGGUCUGCUAAGUUUGGAGUGACAGUUGGUGGCUUAACUGCCAAAGUGCUUCGAAAACUGACAGACUUGAGGGCUUCAGAGGGACACGGAAUUCCGGGUGGAGUGGUGAAAUGCGUAGAGAUCCGGAGGAACACCAAAGGCGAAGGCAGUGUCCUGGGGAGUACCUGACGCUCAGGUGCGAAAGCCAGGGGAGCGAACGGG